rnacentral:rRNA from 1 species
CNNGCCCNGNGANNNAGUUCAACGGCCGCGGUAUCCUAACCGUGCAAAGGUAGCAUAAUCACUUGCCCAUUAAUUGUGGGCUAGAAUGAAAGGACCAACGAAAUAAAUACUGUCUCUAUAAGUCCCCUAAAAAUUAAUCUCUAACUGAAGACUGUUAGAUUCAAUCGAAGGACAAGAAGACCCUAUAGAGCUUUAUUUUAAUAAAGACUCAUAUUUUUAUCAAAUUCGGUUGGGGCGACCGGGGAAAUUAUAAAUCAUCCCCCAAAUAAAGAUUAAUUAAUCUAAACUAAGACCCUUAAUCAAAAUCAACAAAUCAAGCUACCUUAGGGAUAACAGGCUAAUCCCCCUAAGAAGUCCUUAUGAAUAGUGGGGGUUGGCACCUCAAUGUUGGUUUAGGGAAUCUUUGUGGCGCAAAAGUCACAUAAAGAUGGUUGGUUCAACCAAUAAUACCCUACAUGAGCUGAGUUCAGACCGGCGUAACCCAGGUUAGUUUCUAUCCUCGAUACCUCAAUCUAUUUAUAGUACGAAAGGACCUAAAUAGGAAUAAUAAUUAUUGCUAUAGAAUAAAUAUAAUGCAUAUUUAAACUAAAUAUUCACAUACUA